GUGUUCCAGGUAAAUCCGGUUCACUUUAACACUGAGGCGUGACGACGAGGCACUACGGUGCUGAAGCAACAAAUGCCCUGCUUCCAGGAAAAGCCUCUAAGCAUCAGGUAACAUCAAAUCGUACCCCAAACCGACACAGGUGGUCAGGUAGAGAAUACCAAGGCGCUUGAGAGAACUCGGGUGAAGGAACUAGGCAAAAUGGUGCCGUAACUUCGGGAGAAGGCACGCUGACACGUAGGUGAAGUGAUUUACUCAUGGAGCUGAAGUCAGUCGAAGAUACCAGCUGGCUGCAACUGUUUAUUAAAAACACAGCACUGUGCAAACACGAAAGUGGACGUAUACGGUGUGACGCCUGCCCGGUGCCGGAAGGUUAAUUGAUGGGGUCAGCGCAAGCGAAGCUCCUGAUCGAAGCCCCGGUAAACGGCGGCCGUAACUAUAACGGUCCUAAGGUAGCGAAAUUCCUUGUCGGGUAAGUUCCGACCUGCACGAAUGGCGUAAUGAUGGCCAGGCUGUCUCCACCCGAGACUCAGUGAAAUUGAACUCGCUGUGAAGAUGCAGUGUACCCGCGGCAAGACGGAAAGACCCCGUGAACCUUUACUAUAGCUUGACACUGAACAUUGAGCCUUGAUGUGUAGGAUAGGUGGGAGGCUUUGAAGUGUGGACGCCAGUCUGCAUGGAGCCGACCUUGAAAUACCACCCUUUAAUGUUUGAUGUUCUAACGUGGACCCGUAAUCCGGGUUGCGGACAGUGUCUGGUGGGUAGUUUGACUGGGGCGGUCUCCUCCUAAAGAGUAACGGAGGAGCACGAAGGUUGGCUAAUCCUGGUCGGACAUCAGGAGGUUAGUGCAAUGGCAUAAGCCAGCUUGACUGCGAGCGUGACGGCGCGAGCAGGUGCGAAAGCAGGUCAUAGUGAUCCGGUGGUUCUGAAUGGAAGGGCCAUCGCUCAACGGAUAAAAGGUACUCCGGGGAUAACAGGCUGAUACCGCCCAAGAGUUCAUAUCGACGGCGGUGUUUGGCACCUCGAUGUCGGCUCAUCACAUCCUGGGGCUGAAGUAGGUCCCAAGGGUAUGGCUGUUCGCCAUUUAAAGUGGUACGCGAGCUGGGUUUAGAACGUCGUGAGACAGUUCGGUCCCUAUCUGCCGUGGGCGCUGGAGAACUGAGGGGGGCUGCUCCUAGUACGAGAGGACCGGAGUGGACGCAUCACUGGUGUUCGGGUUGUCAUGCCAAUGGCACUGCCCGGUAGCUAAAUGCGGAAGAGAUAAGUGCUGAAAGCAUCUAAGCACGAAACUUGCCCCGAGAUGAGUUCUCCCUGAGACUUAGAGUCUCCUGAAGGAACGUUGAAGACGACGACGUUGAUAGGCCGGGUGUGUAAGCGCAGCGAUGCGUUGAGCUAACCGGUACUAAUGAACCGUGAGGCUUAACCUUACA
rnacentral:rRNA from 1 species